UGGGGAAUAUUGGACAAUGGGGGAAACCCUGAUCCAGCGAUGCCGCGUGUGCGAUGAAGGCCUGCGGGUUGUAAAGCACUUUCGUUGGGGAAGAAAUGCUCAAAGUUAAUACCUUUGAGAGUUGACGUUACCCAAAGAAGAAGCACCGGCUAACUCUGUGCCAGCAGCCGCGGUAAUACAGAGGGUGCAAGCGUUAAUCGGAGUUACUGGGCGUAAAGGGCGCGUAGGCGGAUAUUUAAGUCGGAUGUGAAAUCCCUGGGCUCAACCUAGGAAUUGCAUUCGAUACUGGAUGUCUAGAGUAUGGCAGAGGUAAGUAGAAUUCCCGGUGUAGUGGUAAAAUACGUAGAUAUCGGGAAGAAUACCAGUGGCGAAGGCGACUUACUGGUCCAAUACUGACGCUGAGGCGCGAAAGCGUGGGGAGCAAACAGG
rnacentral:rRNA from 1 species